AACGCGAAGAACCUUACCCGGGCUUGAAAUGCAGAAGAAUAACGUUGAAAGAUGUUAGCCAGCAAUGGCUUCUGUGUAGGUGCUGCAUGGUUGUCGUCAGCUCGUGCCGUGAGGUGUCGGCUUAAGUGCCAUAACGAGCGCAACCCACAUUGUUAGUUACUAACAGGUCAAGCUGAGGACUCUAACAAGACUGCCGUCGUAAGAUGCGAGGAAGGUGUGGAUGACGUCAAAUCAGCACGGCCCUUACGUCCGGGGCGACACACGUGUUACAAUGGGUGGUACAAAGGGCAGCUACUUGGUGACAAGAUGCUAAUCUCCAAAGCCACUCCCAGUUCGGAUCGGAGUCUGCAACUCGACUCCGUGAAGCUGGAUUCGCUAGUAAUCGCGCAUCAGCCAUGGCGCGGUGAAUACGUUCCCGGGUCUUGUACACACCG
rnacentral:rRNA from 1 species